GAAAAGAAUAAUUAAUGAAUCUAACAAUAAGAGAACAAAACUUCAAUUAUGACUAAAGCAUCUAAAAAGCACUGUGCCAUGCCUUAACUAGAGAUAUCUAAGAAAUGAAAGAGACCCUCUUUCAAAUCACUUAAAUUAAACCCUCGAUAAUUCUCAGAAUGCAAUGAUUCUAAAUAAACCAAAGAAAAGCACCCAAUGUCAGCAUCCCCAGCAUAUAUCUCCCCCAUAUCUGAACCUGUAAUGCCUAGAGACAGAGGGAAAGGAAUUAAAGGGAAGAGUAAGGGAGGGACAUGUGUAAAGAAGGAAAGGCCUAAAACACUUGGCCAAUUAAGCACUAGAAAG
rnacentral:misc_RNA from 1 species